GCAGAGAUAGCUCAGCGGCAGAGCAUCGGAAGAAGCCAUAUAUCUCGUAGCUACAAGCUUCGGGGAUAUAGGUGAUGGAUCCGGGGGUCACGGGUUCGAACCCCGUUCUCUGCU
rnacentral:tRNA from 1 species